AUGGGAUGCAGGUGGAGGUUAGCCUACCACGCCAUAGCGCUGGCCCCUGGGAUGGUCUUAUCUACGACGUGCCAGGGGUCAUCACGGCUCUUCCUCUUGCCUCUGGGCCAUCGUCUCCCCCUCAGUGAUGUGUCUCAGGCUCAUUUCUCUCGUGGGCUCCACCCCCACACACCAGGACAUCUGCCUGGCCUCAUACUCAGCAUGAACCCGGCACGUAGCGGGGCUUCAUGGGCCAUCCUGAAAAUGGGUGGCAUCAUUCUGCCCCCUUUCUUGGGGGUCCAGCUCGGUCACCCGGCUGCAGCUCAGAGCGCAGGUGGCUGGCUGUGUCCCCAGGAGGUGACCAGCCAGCUGGUCUCCACGGCAGCCACCUACAAGGCAUGGCAUAGCAGAAGUGUCCCCCGAGAGUCUACACUCAGGAUGGCAAGAAGCGUGGAGGUGGUCUUUCAUGGUCAUCUCAGGUGCAGGUGCUUGGGGGCCCUGCAGAGAGGAGCCGAAAAGCAAGGACAGAGAGGUCCUGAGCAGGGCUGCUCGGCUUCCUGUGCCAUCUGCCCUGUGCACCUGCAGCUUAGCCUGCCUCGCCUCCCCCCACCUUCCCACCAAGCUUCUCCCAGGCCUGUUGUUUUCUGGGGUCGGGGUCCUGUUGCUGACUGAAGUCAUAUGCACAGAGCAGCCUCAGAUUGGACCCCCCAGUGCCCUGCAGUCGCCUCCCUCGCCAGGGGCCUUGCACAUGCAUCACCCGGGUGUGCAGUGUGCGGAGGGAAAUCUUUAACUCAGGCCUCAGUGCCUUCCAGGAGCGCACAUGGUGGGGUGCACUGGAGCCGUCAGGGGUGCAUUGGAGCCGUCAGGCCGAGUGGGGGCUGCGUGGUGAGGAACAGAGAGCUUAGAGCCGGAGCAGGAGACGGGGUCGCCUCUCCCCUGUUCGUCUCGUCUGGUCUCCAUGCUGUGCUGCAGGAUUUCUUUGGCAGCUCAGCUGGGUGGCACUCAUUCAUCCCGCUUCUUGGACGUGUCUGGAAUUGGGCUCUGCUGUGCAGGGUGCUCGCCAGCCUCCCUUCAGGCUGCGGGCACAGGACCUUGGUCAUGGAACGCCAAGAGUGGAGACACAGGUGCACGGAGGUGGUCAUGUGGCUUGAGCAGGGGCAGCUUUCCUAAAGGGGAGGGGCUCUGAACUUCUUGCAGCUGUUGGCACUGGGUGCCAGCGACAGGUGUGCUCGCGCUACAGUCCUGGAACAUUGCCACCAGGGGGCAGCAGUCGCCAGCACCCCCUGGCCUCCUGACCCAGUAGUGGAGCGAGUUCUCCAAAGCACACUUGGAUGAAAACUGUGAAACUACACAAACAGUCCACAGAGUGGACGAUGCUACAGAGCACGCUUUUAAAGCCAAUACACUCUUUUUCUUUUUUUAAAAAAGAUUUAUUCAUUUAUUUGAUAGGCAGAGUUACACACAGAGAGAAGGAGAGACACAGAGAGAGAGAGAGAGAGGUCUUCCAUCCGCUGGUUCACUCCCCAGGUAGCUACAAUGGCUGGAGCUGAGCCAAUCUGAAGCCAGGAGCCAGGAGCUUCUUCCAGGUGCCCUGCGUGGAUGCAGGGGCCCAAGGACUUGGGCCAUCUUCUACUGCUAUCCCAGGCCAUAGCAGAGAGCUGGAUUGAAAGUGGAGCAGCCAGGACUUGAACCGGUACCCAUAUGGGAUGCUGGCACCACAGGCAUCAGCUUUACCUGCUACGCCACAGCGCCGGCCCCUAUGAUAUUCUUUUAGUGGUUGAAUGGUUAUUAUUUUAGAAAUUGAUAUAGUGAUAUAGAUUUAAUUAUCUGUGGUUGGACUGCAAUUAUUUUCCAGUUUUAUGUAACUAAAUGGGCACUUUAACAAGAAUACCCUGUAAACAGCUAUCAUUUGUUUAGUGCUCAUUGUUUUUGUCACUAAAACAUAUGACAUUGUUUUGAUUGCUUCUUAAUGUGACUUGUGAUUUGAUAAUAUUAACCCAUUUAAUGGAUCAGAAAGAUCCAUUUAUCUUAGAGAGAUCCAGGAUCAUAGAACCACUAGACACAGGAGCUGGCUGGCGCUGGGGCACAGUGGGUUAAGCAGCUGCCUGUGAUGUCAGCGUUCUAUAUGGGCACUGGUUCAAGUCUCAGCUACUCCAUUUCUAAUCCAGCUCCCUGCUAAUGCACCUGGGAAAGCAAUAGAAGAUGGCCCGAGUGCUUGGGUCCCUGCACCCACGGGGAACUGCAUGGAGUUCUGGGCUCCUGGUUUUAGCCUGGAUUGGCUCUGGUCAUUGUGGCCAUCUGGGGAGAGAACCAGAGGAUGGAAGAUGUCCCUCCCUCCCUCCCUCUCUCACUCCCCCUCCCUUCCUCCCUCGUUCUCGCUCACUCCCCCUCCCUCCCUCCCUCCCUCCCUCUCUCCCUCUCUCUCUUUCUAGCUGUUCCUCUCAAAUGAAUAAAUAAAUCUUUAAAAAACCCA
ensembl:lncRNA